rnacentral:lncRNA from 1 species
CAAUCUUCCUAUAACUUCCCUCAAAGAUGAAAAUUUUACUCCAAACAUGGUACCAAUAAAUAAAUGUUCUCUUCUGGUAUCGCGUAUAACGUGCAUAUAUUUAUACUUUUCUUUUCUUUUUUGGUUAGUAGUUUUUUACCACCAUGUUCAAGAUCAAUACUCAAAAAGAUACGUCGCAAUUAGAUCGACCCUAGCAGAAUCAUCUUCCCAGGAAUAUGGAUGGAAGAAUGUAAAUAGUUACUACAAAUUGGUGUAAUUUGAGGGCGAUUCUUCCCCAAAAUCAUUGAAUAUUGUUUGCACAGAGACAGAUCUAACCCAGGAAUAUAGAGCAGAAAUAGUUCUUGAUAAAGAUGACGAUACUAGUGAAGAGAGUCACGAGGAGAUUUUAAAUCCACAAUAUACAUGGCAAAUGUCUUUGUAAUUUUCAUACAAACAUGUGUCUAUAAAGUUUAUAAUACAAUGUGACACUGAAAACAUUGUAAGAUUGGAUUUGUUAUAAUGUUCUGAUAAAGGAGAAUCAACAUAUUUGUUUAAAUGUUAUUUAAAAGCUUUGGUUCCGUUGUUAAUGUGCAAAAAAAUAGGAAACGCAAGAGACAUAGUAAUCCUGGAGCAAAUAGGAAGAAGACUGAAGAAACUGUCCAAAUUAUCUUGAAUUCAUUGUAUGCGUCUAAAUUGUUGUUUUUAAUAUUAUAAUGAUAUCUAUAAUAUUGUAGCAAGUAAUAGUG